AGAGUUUGAUCCUGGCUCAGAGCGAACGCUGGCGGCAGGCUUAACACAUGCAAGUCGAGCGGGCAUAGCAAUAUGUCAGCGGCAGACGGGUGAGUAACGCGUGGGAACAUACCUUUUGGUUCGGAACAACACAGGGAAACUUGUGCUAAUACCGGAUAAGCCCUUACGGGGAAAGAUUUAUCGCCGAAAGAUUGGCCCGCGUCUGAUUAGCUAGUUGGUGAGGUAACGGCUCACCAAGGCGACGAUCAGUAGCUGGUCUGAGAGGAUGAUCAGCCACAUUGGGACUGAGACACGGCCCAAACUCCUACGGGAGGCAGCAGUGGGGAAUAUUGGACAAUGGGCGCAAGCCUGAUCCAGCCAUGCCGCGUGAGUGAUGAAGGCCCUAGGGUUGUAAAGCUCUUUUGUGCGGGAAGAUAAUGACGGUACCGCAAGAAUAAGCCCCGGCUAACUUCGUGCCAGCAGCCGCGGUAAUACGAAGGGGGCUAGCGUUGCUCGGAAUCACUGGGCGUAAAGGGUGCGUAGGCGGGUCUUUAAGUCAGGGGUGAAAUCCUGGAGCUCAACUCCAGAACUGCCUUUGAUACUGAGGAUCUUGAGUUCGGGAGAGGUGAGUGGAACUGCGAGUGUAGAGGUGAAAUUCGUAGAUAUUCGCAAGAACACCAGUGGCGAAGGCGGCUCACUGGCCCGAUACUGACGCUGAGGCACGAAAGCGUGGGGAGCAAACAGGAUUAGAUACCCUGGUAGUCCACACCGUAAACGAUGAAUGCCAGCCGUUAGUGGGUUUACUCACUAGUGGCGCAGCUAACGCUUUAAGCAUUCCGCCUGGGGAGUACGGUCGCAAGAUUAAAACUCAAAGGAAUUGACGGGGGCCCGCACAAGCGGUGGAGCAUGUGGUUUAAUUCGACGCAACGCGCAGAACCUUACCAGCCCUUGACAUCCCGGUCGCGGACUCCAGAGAUGGAGUCCUUCAGUUCGGCUGGACCGGAGACAGGUGCUGCACGGCUGUCGUCAGCUCGUGUCGUGAGAUGUUGGGUUAAGUCCCGCAACGAGCGCAACCCCCGUCCUUAGUUGCUACCAUUUAGUUGAGCACUCUAAGGAGACUGCCGGUGAUAAGCCGCGAGGAAGGUGGGGAUGACGUCAAGUCCUCAUGGCCCUUACGGGCUGGGCUACACACGUGCUACAAUGGCGGUGACAAUGGGACGCUAAGGGGCAACCCUUCGCAAAUCUCAAAAAGCCGUCUCAGUUCGGAUUGGGCUCUGCAACUCGAGCCCAUGAAGUUGGAAUCGCUAGUAAUCGUGGAUCAGCAUGCCACGGUGAAUACGUUCCCGGGCCUUGUACACACCGCCCGCCACACCAUGGGAGUUGGUUUUACCUGAAGACGGUGCGCUAACCCGCAAGGGAGGCAGCCGGCCACGGUAGGGUCAGCGACUGGGGUGAAGUCGUAACAAGGUA
rnacentral:rRNA from 1 species